AACGUAGGUACCGAGCGUUAUCCGGAUUUACUGGGCGUAAAGCGCGUUCAGGCGGUUUGGCAAGUCGGGCAUGAAAUCUCUCGGCUCAACCGGGAGAGGUUGUCCGAUACUGCCGGACUGGAGGGCAGUAGAGGGUGGUGGAAUUCCGGGUGUAGUGGUGAAAUGCGUAGAGAUCCGGAGGAACACCAGUGGCGAAAGCGGCCACCUGGACUGCACCUGACGCUGAAACGCGAAAGCUAGGGAGCGA
rnacentral:rRNA from 1 species